UACGUAGGGUGCGAGCGUUGUCCGGAAUUAUUGGGCGUAAAGAGCUCGUAGGCGGUCUGUCGCGUCGAUCGUGAAAACUUGGGGCUUAACCCUGAGCUUGCGGUCGAUACGGGCAUGACUGGAGUUCGGCAGGGGAGACUGGAAUUCCUGGUGUAGCGGUGAAAUGCGCAGAUAUCAGGAGGAACACCAAUAGCGAAGGCAGCUCGCUGGGACGUUACUGACACUGAGGCGCGAAAGCGUGGGGAGCGAACAGG
rnacentral:rRNA from 1 species